rnacentral:rRNA from 1 species
AACGAACGCUGGCGGCAGGCCUAACACAUGCAAGUCGAGCGCCCCGCAAGGGGAGCGGCGGACGGGUGAGUAACGCGUGGGAACGUGCCCCUUUCUACGGAAUAGCCUCGGGAAACUGGGAGUAAUACCGUAUAAGCCCUACGGGGGAAAGAUUUAUCGCCUUUGGAGCAGCCCGCGUUGGAUUAGGUAGUUGGUGAGGUAAAGGCUCACCAAGCCGACGAUCCAUAGCUGGUCUGAGAGGAUGACCAGCCACACUGGGACUGAGACACGGCCCAGACUCCUACGGGAGGCAGCAGUAGGGAAUCUUGCGCAAUGGGCGAAAGCCUGACGCAGCCAUGCCGCGUGUAUGAUGAAGGUCUUAGGACUGUAAAAUACUUUCACCGGGGAAGAUAAUGACGGUACCCGGAGAAGAAGCCCCGGCUAACUUCGUGCCAGCAGCCGCGGUAAAAC